rnacentral:rRNA from 1 species
UACAGAGGUCCCAAGCGUUGUUCGGAUUCACUGGGCGUAAAGGGUGCGUAGGCGGUCGGGUAAGUCUGUCGUGAAAUCUCCGAGCCCAACUCGGAAACUGCGUCGGAUACUAUUCGGCUAGAGGAAUGGAGGGGAGACUGGAAUUCUCGGUGUAGCAGUGAAAUGCGUAGAUAUCGAGAGGAACACCAGUGGCGAGGGCGAGUCUCUGGACAUUUCCUGACGCUGAGGCACGAAAGCCAGGGGAGCAAACGGG